rnacentral:rRNA from 1 species
CGCGUAGGCGGUUCGUUAAGUUGCUGGUGAAAUCCCGGGGCUCAACUCCGGGGCUGCCGGCAAGACUGGCGGGCUAGAGCACGGUAGAGGCGGAUGGAAUUCCCGGUGUAGCGGUGGAAUGCGUAGAUAUCGGGAAGAAUACCGGUGGCGAAGGCGGCCCCCUCGGUUGGAUACUGACGCUGAGACGCGAAAGCGUGGGGAGCAAACA